rnacentral:rRNA from 1 species
CCUACGGGAGGCAGCAGUGAGGAAUAUUGGUCAAUGGGCUUACGCCUGAACCAGCCAAGUCGCGUGAGGGAAGACUGCUCUAUGGGUUGUAAACUUCUUUUGUCAGGGACGAAGCAAGUGACGGUACCUGGCGCAUAAGCCACGGCUAACUACGUGCCAGCAGCCGCGGUAAUACGUAGGUGGCAUGCGUUAUCCGGAUUUAUUGGGUGUAAAGGGCGUGUAGGCGGGAAUGCAAGUCAGAUGUGAAAACUAUGGGCUCAACCCAUAGCCUGCAUUUGAAACUGUAUUUCUUGAGUGCUGGAGAGGCAAUCGGAAUGCCGUGUGUAGCGGUGAAAUGCGUAGAUAUACGGCGGAACACCAGUGGCGAAGGCGGAUUGCUGGACAGUAACUGACGCUGAGGCGCGAAAGCGUGGGGAGCAAACAGGAUUAGAUACCCUUGUAGUC